rnacentral:rRNA from 1 species
UUGAACGCUGGCGGCAGGCCUAACACAUGCAAGUCGAACGGUAACAGGAAGCAGCUUGCUGCUUCGCUGACGAGUGGCGGACGGGUGAGUAAUGUCUGGGAAACUGCCUGAUGGAGGGGGAUAACUACUGGAAACGGUAGCUAAUACCGCAUAACGUCGCAAGACCAAAGAGGGGGACCUUCGGGCCUCUUGCCAUCGGAUGUGCCCAGAUGGGAUUAGCUAGUAGGUGGGGUAACGGCUCACCUAGGCGACGAUCCCUAGCUGGUCUGAGAGGAUGACCAGCCACACUGGAACUGAGACACGGUCCAGACUCCUACGGGAGGCAGCAGUGGGGAAUAUUGCACAAUGGGCGCAAGCCUGAUGCAGCCAUGCCGCGUGUAUGAAGAAGGCCUUCGGGUUGUAAAGUACUUUCAGCGGGGAGGAAGGGAGUAAAGUUAAUACCUUUGCUCAUUGACGUUACCCGCAGAAGAAGCACCGGCUAACUCCGUGCCAGCAGCCGCGGUAAUACGUAGGGGGCAAGCGUUAUCCGGAUUUACUGGGUGUAAAGGGAGCGCAGGCGGUGCGGCAAGUCAGAUGUGAAAACCCGGGGCUCAACCCCGGGACUGCAUUUGAAACUGUCGGACUAGAGUGCCGGAGAGGUAAGUGGAAUUCCUAGUGUAGCGGUGAAAUGCGUAGAGAUUGGGAGGAACACCAGUGGCGAAGGCGACUAACUGGACUGUAACUGACGCUGAGGCGCGAAAGUGUGGGGAGCAAACAGGAUUAGAUACCCUGGUAGUCCACGCCGUAAACGAUGUCGACUUGGAGGUUGUGCCCUUGAGGCGUGGCUUCCGGAGCUAACGCGUUAAGUCGACCGCCUGGGGAGUACGGCCGCAAGGUUAAAACUCAAAUGAAUUGACGGGGGCCCGCACAAGCGGUGGAGCAUGUGGUUUAAUUCGAUGCAACGCGAAGAACCUUACCUGGUCUUGACAUCCACAGAACUUUCCAGAGAUGGAUUGGUGCCUUCGGGAACUGUGAGACAGGUGCUGCAUGGCUGUCGUCAGCUCGUGUUGUGAAAUGUUGGGUUAAGUCCCGCAACGAGCGCAACCCUUAUCCUUUGUUGCCAGCGGUCCGGCCGGGAACUCAAAGGAGACUGCCAGUGAUAAACUGGAGGAAGGUGGGGAUGACGUCAAGUCAUCAUGGCCCUUACGACCAGGGCUACACACGUGCUACAAUGGCGCAUACAAAGAGAAGCGACCUCGCGAGAGCAAGCGGACCUCAUAAAGUGCGUCGUAGUCCGGAUUGGAGUCUGCAACUCGACUCCAUGAAGUCGGAAUCGCUAGUAAUCGUGGAUCAGAAUGCCACGGUGAAUACGUUCCCGGGCCUUGUACACACCGCCCGUCACACCAUGGGAGUGGGUUGCAAAAGAAGUAGGUAGCUUAACCUUCGGGAGGGCGCUUACCACUUUGUGAUUCAUGACUGGGGUG